GAAUCUGUGGCGCAGUGGUAGCGCGUCUGACUAUGUGUCAGAAGGUUGCGUGUUCGAAUCACGUCAUAUUCA